AGUGAACGCUGGCGGUAGGCCUAACACAUGCAAGUCGAACGGCAGCACAGUAAGAGCUUGCUCUUACGGGUGGCGAGUGGCGGACGGGUGAGGAAUACAUCGGAAUCUACUUUUUCGUGGGGGAUAACGUAGGGAAACUUACGCUAAUACCGCAUACGACCUACGGGUGAAAGCAGGGGUUCUUCGGACCUUGCGCGAUUGAAUGAGCCGAUGGCGGAUUAGCUAGUUGGCGGGGUAAAGGCCCACCAAGGCGACGAUCCGUAGCUGGUCUGAGAGGAUGAUCAGCCACACUGGAACUGAGACACGGUCCAGACUCCUACGGGAGGCAGCAGUGGGGAAUAUUCGGCAAUGGGCGCAAGCCUGAUCCAGCAAUACCGCGUGAGUGAAGAAGGCCUUCGGGUUGUAAAGCCCUUUUGUUGGGAAAGAAAAGCAGCAGGUUAAUCCCCCGCUGUUCUGACGGUACCCAAAGAAUAAGCACCGGCUAACUUCGUG
rnacentral:rRNA from 1 species